rnacentral:rRNA from 1 species
UACGGGGGGAGCAAGCGUUGUUCGGAUUUACUGGGCGUAAAGGGCGCGUAGGCGGCUUUGCAAGUGGCGGGUGAAAUCCCUCGGCUUAACCGAGGAACUGCCUGCCAGACUGUGAGGCUUGAGACCGGGAGAGGUGAGUGGAAUUCCCAGUGUAGCGGUGAAAUGCGUAGAUAUUGGGAGGAACACCAGUGGCGAAGGCGGCUCACUGGACCGGAACUGACGCUGAGGCGCGAAAGCGUGGGGAGCAAACAGGG